rnacentral:rRNA from 1 species
CCUACGGGAGGCUGCAGUGGGGAAUAUUGCACAAUGGGGGAAACCCUGAUGCAGCAACGCCGCGUGAGCGAAGAAGGCCUUCGGGUCGUAAAGCUCUGUCCUAAGGGAAGAAGGAUGACGGUACCUUAGGAGGAAGCCCCGGCUAACUACGUGCCAGCAGCCGCGGUAAUACGUAGGGGGCGAGCGUUAUCCGGAAUCACUGGGCGUAAAGGGUGCGUAGGCGGCCGAUAAAGUCUGGGGUGAAAGGCUACGGCUCAACCGUAGUAAGCCUUGGAAACUUAUUGGCUUGAGUGCAGGAGAGGAGGGGGGAAUUCCGGGGGGAGGGGUGAAUUGCGUAAUUAUCAGGGGGAACACAAGGGGGGAGGGCGGCUCUGGGGAUGUUAACUGACGCUGAGGCACGAAGGCGUGGGAAGCAAACAGGAUUAGUUACCCUUGUAGUC